GCCGGCGUAGCUCAGUUGGCAGAGCAACUGAUUCGUAAUCAGUAGGUCGGAGGUUCGAAUCCUCUCGCCGGCACCA
rnacentral:tRNA from 1 species